CGGACGUCAACUUGGCUCUUUCUUCGACUUUUACACGGGAUUUGAGGAACUCAAACUGGACAAAAAUUUACACUAUCCUACAAUCUGGAAAGGAACCUUUUGACAAUAUAGGAAGGCUUUCAAUGGAGUACUCUUUGUCAAAAAUCUGUUUUUUCUGUGUUGAGUUUGCAACCAGUUUGGAGAGCAACCAGUUUGGAAGUUGAGCGCGGGAUUUCACGGACGAUAAUUAUUGACUAUGAUAUAAUGGAUGCAACUUCGCUGUUGAGCCUCCGACUGGCUUGCGAGUUCCACGGAAUUAGCAUAAGCCUUCUCUAUUAAUGUUGACCUUAAAACAGACAAUGUGAACUCAAAUAACAAUGUUAAACUUCUUCUGGACAAUAAAUGCAGCAAAGCUGGACAACUUGUUGUUUUUCUUUGGAGUAUUGCGGUCACAGGGGGAACUUCAGCCCUGGGAGAGCACCGCACAUGGAACUACGCUUGCCAUGCCAGCCCCGGGAGAGCCGUCAGUGUUCAUACGAGGACAAGGAGUGUUCAUCUGAGUGUGGAGAAUGUUGUCGAUGGAUUGGAUUUUCUCUGAUAUUCCAGUUUUUAAAACUGAACGAAACUUUUGACAGUAAAAUCAUUGGUUUCCAGAAACUCUAGCCUACUUGUGUAAACCAAUGGAAAAUUCGGUAAUUUGACACUAUUUUGAAGAGACUUUUAUCUAUGGAUUGUGUGGUCAAUGGUUUCGUCACAAGGUAAAGACAGAGUAUUGAAAGGCAACGUGACGGUAAGCGAAGAUCUAACCACAUUCCCCCAAUAAAUAAUCUUGCGGGUUUUAUAUUUCAGAAUAUUAAACGAGGUGCUUGUUGAUGUUGUCAACUUGUAUUGUCUUUCUUGGUGAUGUUACCACAAUUUGAUCUUUCUCGAUGGUUAAUUUCCUUGAGUUGCAUGUUGGUCGUAGCCAGUGAUGCAUUGUUGUAAUUUUUGGCUCAAUUCAAUGGAAGUUUUCUCUGGGUUGUUACAAGCUGAUGUCAACAGUUGUCAUGUUUAACUCAAAAUAUUGUCAUAAUUAAAUAAUUGCUAUAUAUCUAUAGUUGACCUAUUUUUUCUGGCACUGCCUGUACCCUCUUGUAAUAUUUUAAAAAUAUUUUUUACUCUGUAAAUAAGUUUGACCUGUUUUGUUCUUAAAAUUGAGACUAAAUACAAAAAGAAAAACAUAGAUCGUUUAAAAUAAAUAAAAACACAAUUGUCAAAAAAUUACUACUGAUAUAAAACGAUAGUAAAUAAAUUAUUACAGUUACACACAAUUAUUUCUACACAAUAUUUUAGAAAUUGAAAUGUAAGUGGUCCACACCCCAAACAAAAUUUGUUGUGCAAUCUUACAACAUUGUCAGCGUUGACCAAUUAAAUGUUUUUGGCUUAAAACAUCCUUACUCAGUCAAUAAUAAGACUAUAAAUUACAAAAUAAAUCAUGUGAUUAAACACCAAAUUACACAACAACUCCUGAGCCCAACCCCAAUAACCAAGCUUGUUUACAAAAGCCCAUACAGCUAAGAAUAGCAACUAUCAAUCUUAAGAUUGUGUAGCCGUGCUAAUGUAUACGGGCGCGUGCGAUUUAUUUUAUGCGAUUUAUGCGAAUAAUAAUUUAGGCAAGCACCGAAGAAAAAAAUAAACGCAAAAUGACAAAAAUCGCAGCCCAAAAAAAAAUGAUGACACUCUUUAUUGACUGCUAUGAUCUUUGAUGAUGUGUAGAUACCAGCCAUGGAGAUUGAAGACGUGUAAACAGUUUGGUGUGUGGUAAGUAAUUAUAGAAGGCUUAGAGUAAAAUGCCAGUGUAGGUCUAGAAAAUAUACCACUAAUCAUUUCCUCCUAACAGGUUAAGAACUCUUCUGGCUGGUAAUGUAUAAGCACUAUACUUAGUCUUGGUUCAAGCAAACAGUAUGUUCACACAAAAACUGUGCUGUUCUCCAACAAAGACUCGCUGAAUGAUACAUAUAGUAAAAAAACUACUUGAUACCAAGACUAAGUGUUACUGUAUGCCAUGAACCAAAGUCUUCGAUGCUUGGCCCCACUGCAGAAGGGUGUACUGACUGCUGAGAUAGAACAAGAGAACAAGGCAGCAAGGUUAAGUAUGAGGUAAAGUAUAAAUGAAGGGUAAUGGUAAACCCUAUGGGUAAGGUUAGGGACAACGUGGUAAGCGGUUAUCCUAACAAAAGGGCUAACCAACAUUUUUCCUCCUACAGCAAAAUAACUACUUUCUUUUCACAGCAAAUAAUUCCUCUUUCCUCUGCAGCAAAAUAAGAACUUUUUUCACCGGUAAUAAUAACCAUUUUAUUUUUUUCUUCACCAGAUAUCAACUUAUUCUUGAACGACUUUGGAGAAGGGUUAAGUAUUUUGGUAGGGUUUGGUUGGUAAGUUCUGUAAAUAACAACUUUCCAAUCACAUGUAAUAAUCUAGUUUGAUAUUUGUUUGUCUUGCAGCUUUAAUUCCUGACUGUUGAUGGCACAUUGCAUAUGAUGGCAUUUCUGGGACACUGCUGAUCACAGAGUUUGAAGUUACAGCAAGUUCAGGUAUAAGGUAAAGAGGGUGCUCAUAUUGUUUAGAAAUGUUCUCAACUUCAUUUGUUAAUUUCUGUUACAGGUUCUGUUUUCUUCAGCUGAGGACCCUCCCUUCAUAGCUGAUGGCAUCUAAUCUGAUUGAAGCUACCAUGUAAUGGAGAUGAUGGGUUCUAGUUUCUUCAGGUGAGGACCCUUUCUUCAUUGAUGUAUUCUGAUCCGAUGGAGUUACCAUGCAAUUGAAUUUGCGUUCGGUGCUUUUUUGAUGAGAUGACUCCGCCCCAAGACAUGGAUGAGACUGAGGUCACUGGAGGUUUACUUCAGGAUCAGAGACAUAGACGGAGCACUCUCCAGACCAAUGCAUCCAUCUAGUCCAUCUCUAAGAGUAACUUAGGUCUUCUUUUUUUAAAUCACAGCUUUUACUGAGGCUCUAUUUUGUUCUCUGUCUGUAAUUUUAAAAACAUACAAAUUGGGCUGGGGAAGUCAAAAGGUCUAAGCUGUGGUUUUAAAAAAAAUGGCCCAUAUGUUCAACUCAUGUUGUACAUGCAAUUUUGUAAUUUAAAGACACUGGACAUUUUUGGUAAUUACUCAAAACAUUCGUUAGC